UGUGAGGAGCUGCAGCCGCCAUGAGGCCUCCCCUCAGCUCCUCUGCUCUGGGAUGAGCAAACCCAGGGGCCUCAGCUGCUCCUCAUAUGACUUCCCCUUCAGACCCUUCACCAUCUGUGUUGGCCUGGACUUCGCUGCCCUCAGGACUAGGAAGCCGUAGUGUCUCAGGUGGUUUGCAAGAGCUGGGGCCAAGCAAGGAGGCAGUGGGAGAGUAUGUCCAGAAGGGGGAAUGGAGUGAAACUGGUGAAAUUAAACUUCUCGGUUUUUCCAGAGGGGCCUAUGUUGUUCACCCCAACCCAAGGAGCCGCCAUGAGUUGGGCCUUAUCCACAGCCAGAAAGCACCAGCCCGGGAGCCAGGCACUGCAGAAAGAAGCCUUAGAAGCAUCUGGAGCAUCUCAGCUCUGAGUGUAGCUCCAAGGUUAUCAGAGCGUGUCAAGAUUGGCGUUUAGUUGUACAAGAGGAAGCAAAGCCUCAGACAAAUCCUUGAGGAGUCCUUGUACCCAGCAGAAACAGCACAAGCACGGCCUUCUUGGCGAGAGUUAAAUAUGAGUCUCCUCUUCUUCAAAUCCUUUUCUGGCGAUGGCUUAGAUUGUGUUGCUGGCUGUCAUAAUGAUGCUCCAGGCUCUUGUAGUGUAGAAGACUGUUGAUAUCCCCGACAAAGGUAGAAGAGAUGUGAGACAGCCCUAUCAAGAACUUCUGAUUUUGAUAAAUUAAUCGUCUUCCUGUAGAGUGACCGAUCACAGGAGACUCCGUGAAGCGUGCUUGCACAUUUUAGAAUGCCCCAAAUUCAUUAGCUAUUCCACUCGAGUUAUGAGUUAGUGAGCCACACGAAGAAAAUGUGUUUGGAAUAACGCUUUGCAGCUCUAGUGUUUUUAAAUAGGCAGCUAACAAUGUACCAUUCCCUCCUAUUCAGUUGUUUGUUUUAUUUUUCAUGUGAAAAGAGAAUGUAAUCAGCUUUCCUAUUAUAGAAAAAGAUGAGGAUAAAGUGCUCAUUGUUAAACCAUGUCCGCUGGCAUCUCCUUAUUUUCACAUAACAAUGGUUAUUUUCUAAAUCUUCUAUUUCCCGUUAACCUGUGUGUGUUUGGUUACUGCUUUUUCUAUCAUGACUUCUCUAAUGUGACAGCAUUUAGCUGUGUAUAUUCUUCUCUUGUUUGGUACUCAGGGAUGGCUUCCUUGCUUGUAAAUUAUUCAAGAAGGUGAGCAGGGCUCUUACCAGGGACCAGAAUGGUCUGUCUCCCUUACAUCUUCUGUGGAAACUGUCUAUUGUGAGAAGUUUACACCAUGGUUCCCUGUGCUCUCAGUGUCAGAAAUGCUAUGAGAACACAUAGAGACACUGCAGCAGGUGAGUCUGGUCUGCGGUGGUCAGUGCUGAACUCAGCCCCUGUGGAGCCUUGCAGAGCCUGGGUACUCCCGCCUCAGCCCUGGCUUGUACCCAGACAUUUUCGUUCCAGUUCCUGUGCCAAGAUAAAGGCAGAAUAAGUCAGACAGAAGAAAAAAAGCGGUGAAUUUUUGAACAGCCUCUUGCCUCUUGGCCAGAAAGGUAAUGCAGCCACGCAGGAUCGUUAAAAGCCCAUUGAGUGAGGAUGUAACCACUCUGAUACUCACAUAGCUACUGCAAAUCCACAGACUGUGAGACUGCAAGAUCUCACAGGAUGAAAAAGAUGUGACAAAAAGAUCAGUAGGCACCAGGGGUGGAAUUAAGACAGAAGAACUGUGUGGAGGCCUCCAAAACCACAGAAAGAAAAUGGACAUGACAGAGCUGUCCCACAAGUUCAGCCAAACACUGCAGCAAAUAUGUAUAUUGAAUAAGGAGAGUUGGCAGGAUUGUGGCAGCUGCCAGAAGCCUUUUCUGUUGGUUCUUUAACCAUGACUUGAUUGUCAAUGCAUCCAAAGGCCUCAAGAAAGCUUACGACCACAAGCUGCAAAAGGACUCCAUUGCUGUAUGGAGAAUGAUAAAGACGUUCUCCAAAAAUCAAAUUCAGAAGAAUACUGGAUUCAAAGUCAAGAGGCUUCAAAUAAAUGAAGGCUGCAUGUUCAAUAGUAUAAUAUUCACUUUGGCUACUCUCCCUGGGACAACUUUCAGCUUUCAGACUUCAUUUGCAGAAGUGCAACUUUCAACCCAAGUCUAAGUGCAAGUAAAGCAUUGUCAAGGGAAUAUUCUAGAUUCUCCUACAGGCUCAGCCUGAGCAACUAGUAUCAGUAAAUGCAACUGGAAGAAGCCUGCUAAGUCAGUAAAUCCAGACUUUGGCAGUCACAGCAACUACAGGAUCCACACCUCUUUUGUCCUUUGCCACAAAACAUUGCAUUAAUCCAUGACAAACUUAAACUCUUUGGUGUAAAAAUAAAACCUGCAAGAGCCAAUUUAGAGCACUACGAAAAGGGAGGAGGAGAGAGGGAAUGAAAGGGCCCUAGGACCAUGCCAGAGUAAGGAAUCUGUCAGGGGAAAAAAAAAAAAAAACAUGAUCUUCUAAGGUGGAUUGCACUCUGUGUUGCCUUUGGAAGCAAAAACCUCACUGGUUCCUCGUUUGAUUCUAAUUUUCAAGGCCAGGUUGGAUGGAGCCCUGGGCAGCCCAAGCUGGUGGGGGGCAGCCUUGCACAUGGCAGGGGGUUGGGGCUGGGUAGCUUUGAGGUCCCUUCAAACCUAAACCAUUCUGUCAUUUUACGAUUCUAUGAUUCUAAACGUGUGAUCAUUUCAGUUCUUAGUCUGAGGGCCACAAAGACCACCCUGUAGAGAGGCUGCUGGGUUCUGCACUGAGAACCUUUGCCUUCUGUCCACCUCAUCCUCUCCUGCUGGAGCCAGACUCUGACCUCCAGAAAGAGGGGAAACAUUGAACGUGGCCUCUUGUCCAAACCUUUCCUAUCCCUAGGAAUUAAUUAAUCUUUAUUCCAACCUGGCAGGAGUCACAUUCAAAGGAGCAUUUCGCCAGGGAAUCUCUUCCUGAGGAUCUAGUUGUGUUUUUGUGAUUAAUUCUGAUUUGUAAGUUUAAGUCUUAAGCCAUUUCUGACCAUUUCAUUUUGAACCACCAAAGCUUUGGGAAGUCAUACGUGCUACGAAGGGACAUGGUAGCUAGCAGGCCUAUUGGCUGCAAAUUGUCUUAUUCAGGGAAAAACAGUUUACAUCAGGGCAACUUUGAAGGUUUUUCAGCUCUUGCUACUAUUUUCCUAAAUAAUGUCAUGUUCUUCUAUUUUUGAGUUGACAAACACUCUCACAACAAAGAUUUUGAUGUCACAAACAGAAAAUAAUGAUUCUAUGAAAGAGAUGAAGCAGGAGCAGAUUGUCUCCUUAAAAUUAAUACAAUAAUGAUAAUAAUAAUAAUAUAUUUUCCAGUAAACACCUCUGAUAACAAAAAGUUUGAAGAAAAGUACAGAAGGGAAGUGAUACACAAGUCCCAGAACUGUCACUGAGCACACAGUUCGUUUUAAAGCCUCUGAACAAGACAUAAGUGGGUCUUUUACCCUGCAGCUAUCACUGCCCCCAAAAAAACUCCAAGCCAAGCCAAUGAAUGCUCCUCUUUCUUCUGUGGAAUUCUGACCAGAACAUGGUCUUAAAUACUACAUCAAUGCAAUUCCCACAGAAGACAAGUUCAAGUUCUGACCCUUCACUUUAUUUUUAAACACUUUUUUUUUUUUUUUUUUUUUUGCAUUUGAACAUGUAAGAAGCAACAGUUUAAAGGGAAAGAAAAGUUCAGAUGCUCGAUGAAAUGGCAGCAGGGAAUCAAUUGCUUCUGCUUCAUCUUGAUGCAUUUAAUGUCCUUACUGUAUCGGUGAGACCACCGCAGUUUGCUUUCAGAGAGCGUAUUAGACCAGGUAUUUCAUUAGUGUGAAUGUCUCAGAAAAUGGCAGAAUUGAAAGAAAAGGGGAAAGAACGCAAACUAUGAAAUUAGGACAGAUUUAUGACCUGCCUCUAGUCAAGAGAAUACAUAAGAUAAAUCAGGGAGAAUAGAAAGAUGCUAUUUGCAGUUCUAAAGGUGGGCAAAAGAAGACGUUCAUUGAAGUGCCUUGAUAGAAAAGGAGACUUUGAGAAGAAAAGCUUCUUAAACAUCAAAAGAUAAAGGGCACAAAUCAGGCUUAGUGAGCAAGUCUUUGAAAUGGUACCAACCUCCAAGUCAGCAAAAUAUGCAUAGAUGUAAGUAUAACAGCACAAUGUUUGCUCAUACUUCUGAAAAGUUACUUUCACAAAUGAGACUUCACGCCACUGUUAACAAUUUCUUUUUUCAGUGUGUGUUUCUAAAAAUGAACCAGUAAAGCAGAAAAUCCUAAUGCUGAGAGAAAGCAAGAGGACUUCGCCUCAACUGCCUACUAAGAAUCCAAGGACGAAGGUACCUGCUUGCUUACAUAUACUGGUGCACA